rnacentral:rRNA from 1 species
UGGGGAAUUUUGGACAAUGGGCGAAAGCCUGAUCCAGCAAUGCCGCGUGUGUGAAGAAGGCCUUCGGGUUGUAAAGCACUUUUGUCCGGAAAGAAAUCCUUGGCUCUAAUACAGUCGGGGGAUGACGGUACCGGAAGAAUAAGCACCGGCUAACUACGUGCCAGCAGCCGCGGUAAUACGUAGGGUGCAAGCGUUANUCGGAAUUACUGGGCGUAAAGCGUGCGCAGGCGGUUUGCUAAGACCGAUGUGAAAUCCCCGGGCUCAACCUGGGAACUGCAUUGGUGACUGGCAGGCUAGAGUAUGGCAGAGGGGGGUAGAAUUCCACGUGUAGCAGUGAAAUGCGGUAGAGAUGUGGAGGAAUACCGAUGGCGAAGGCAGCCCCCUGGGCCAAUACUGACGCUCAUGCACGAAAAGCGUGGGGAGCAAAACAGGGAUUAGAUACCCUGGUAGUCCACGCCCUAAACGAUGUCAACUAGUUGUUGGGGAUUCAUUUCCUUAGUAACGUAGCUAACGCGUGAAGUUGACCGCCUGGGGAGUACGGUCGCAAGAUUAAAACUUAAAGGAAUUGAC